rnacentral:rRNA from 1 species
AGUGAACGCUGGCGGUAGGCCUAACACAUGCAAGUCGAACGGCAGCACAGUAAGAGCUUGCUCUUACGGGUGGCGAGUGGCGGACGGGUGAGGAAUACAUCGGAAUCUACUUUUUCGUGGGGGAUAACGUAGGGAAACUUACGCUAAUACCGCAUACGACCUACGGGUGAAAGCAGGGGAUCUUCGGACCUUGCGCGAUUGAAUGAGCCGAUGUCGGAUUAGCUAGUUGGCGGGGUAAAGGCCCACCAAGGCGACGAUCCGUAGCUGGUCUGAGAGGAUGAUCAGCAACACUGGAACGGAGACACGGUCCAGAAUCCUACGGGAGGCAGCAGUGGGGAAUAUUGGACAAUGGGCGCAAGCCUGAUCCAGCAAUACCGCGUGGGUGAAGAAGGCCUUCGGGUUGUAAAGCCCUUUUGUUGGGAAAGAAAAGCAGCAGGUUAAUACCCCGCUGUUCUGACGGUACCCAAAGAAUAAGCACCGGCUAACUUCGUG